CAGCAGCCGCGGUAAUACUGCGCCACGAAUGGUAAUCGUUAUUAUUGGGUCUAAAGUGUCNGUAGCCGGUCUAGCAAGUUCCUGGUGAAAUCUGGCAGCUAACUGUCAGGCGUGCUGGGAAUACUACUAGACUUGGGACCGGGAGAGGGUAGAGGUAUUCCAUGUGUAGGAGUUAAAUCCUUUAAUCCAUGGAGGACCACCGGUGGCGAAGGCGUCUACCUAGAACGGGUCCGACGGUGAGGGACGAGAGCGUGGGGAGCAAAUGGGAUUAGAUACCCCAGUAGUCCACGCUGUAAACGCUGUCCGCUUGGUGUCACGAAUCUUACGAGGGUUCGUGGUGCCGGAAUGAAGAUGUUAAGCGGACCACCUGGGGAGUACGGUCGCAAGGCUGAAACUUAAGGGAAUUGGCGGGGGAGCACACAAGGGGUGGAUGCUGCGGUUCAAUUGGAUUCGACGCCGGAAACCUCACGAGGGUUGACAGCAGGGUGAAGGUCACUCUAAAGGGGUUACCAGACGCGCUGAGCGGAGUUGCAUGGCCAUCGUCAGCUCGUACCUUGAGGCGUGCCGUUAAGUCGGUUAACGAGCGAGACCCACGCCAUCAGUUGCUAUCAUAAGUUGUUUGGAGCAAUCCAAAUUUCGAUUUGUGAGCACUCUGGUGGGACCGCCACUGCUAAAGUGGAGGAAGGUGUGGGCAACGGUAGGUCCGUAUGGCCCUAAUACCCUCGGCUACACGCGGCAUACAAUGGUUGGGACAAUGCGAUGCAACACCGAAAGGUGAAGCUAAUCGCCCAAACCCAAUCUUAGUUCGGAUUGAGGACUGUUACUCGUCCUCAUGAAGCCGAAAUCCCUAGUAAGCGAAAGUCAUAAUCUUUCGCUGAAUACGUCCCUGCCCCUUGCACAG
rnacentral:rRNA from 1 species